rnacentral:rRNA from 1 species
GUGGGGAAUAUUGGACAAUGGGGGGAACCCUGAUCCAGCCAUGCCGCGUGUGUGAAGAAGGCCUUUUGGUUGUAAAGCACUUUAAGCGAGGAGGAGGCUACCGAGAUUAAUACUCUUGGAUAGUGGACGUUACUCGCAGAAUAAGCACCGGCUAACUCUGUGCCAGCAGCCGCGGUAAUACAGAGGGUGCAAGCGUUAAUCGGAUUUACUGGGCGUAAAGCGCGCGUAGGUGGCCAAUUAAGUCAAAUGUGAAAUCCCCGAGCUUAACUUGGGAAUUGCAUUCGAUACUGGUUGGCUAGAGUAUGGGAGAGGAUGGUAGAAUUCCAGGUGUAGCGGUGAAAUGCGUAGAGAUCUGGAGGAAUACCGAUGGCGAAGGCAGCCAUCUGGCCUAAUACUGACACUGAGGUGCGAGAGCAUGGGGAGCAAACAGGAUUAGAAACCCGGGUAGUCC